UCGCUCAGAUUGAACGCUGGCGGCAUGCCUUACACAUGCAAGUCGAACGGCAGCACGGGGGCAACCCUGGUGGCGAGUGGCGAACGGGUGAGUAAUACAUCGGAACGUGUCCUGGAGUGGGGGAUAGCCCGGCGAAAGCCGGAUUAAUACCGCAUACGCUCUGUGGAGGAAAGGGGGGGAUCUUAGGACCUCUCGCUCAAGGGGCGGCCGAUGGCAGAUUAGCUAGUUGGUGGGGUAAAGGCCUACCAAGGCGACGAUCUGUAGCUGGUCUGAGAGGACGACCAGCCACACUGGGACUGAGACACGGCCCAGACUCCUACGGGAGGCAGCAGUGGGGAAUUUUGGACAAUGGGCGAAAGCCUGAUCCAGCAAUGCCGCGUGUGUGAAGAAGGCCUUCGGGUUGUAAAGCACUUUUGUCCGGAAAGAAAUCCUGUGGGCUAAUACCCUGUGGGGAUGACGGUACCGGAAGAAUAAGCACCGGCUAACUACGUGCCAGCAGCCGCGGUAAUACGUAGGGUGCAAGCGUUAAUCGGAAUUACUGGGCGUAAAGCGUGCGCAGGCGGUCCGCUAAGACAGAUGUGAAAUCCCCGGGCUUAACCUGGGAACUGCAUUUGUGACUGGCGGGCUAGAGUAUGGCAGAGGGGGGUAGAAUUCCACGUGUAGCAGUGAAAUGCGUAGAGAUGUGGAGGAAUACCGAUGGCGAAGGCAGCCCCCUGGGCCAAUACUGACGCUCAUGCACGAAAGCGUGGGGAGCAAACAGGAUUAGAUACCCUGGUAGUCCACGCCCUAAACGAUGUCAACUAGUUGUCGGGUCUUCAUUGACUUGGUAACGUAGCUAACGCGUGAAGUGACCGUC
rnacentral:rRNA from 1 species